rnacentral:rRNA from 1 species
AAUGAACGCUGGCGGCGCGCCUAAUACAUGCAAGUCGAGCGAGAAGACGUAGCAAUACGUUUGUAAAGCGGCGAACGGGUGAGGAAUACAUGGGUAACCUACCCUCGAGUGGGGAAUAACUAGCCGAAAGGUUAGCUAAUACCGCGUACGCUUCUUGGAUUUCGGUUCAGGGAGGAAAGCGAUGCCGAGGGUAUCGCGCUCUUGGAUGGGCUCAUGUCCUAUCAGCUUGNGGUGAGGUAACGGCUCACCAAGGCUUCGACGGGUAGCUGGUCUGAGAGGACGAUCAGCCACACUGGCACUGCGACACGGGCCAGACUCCUACGGGAGCAGCAGUAAGGAAUAUUGCGCAAUGGGCGAAAGCCUGACGCAGCGACGCCGCGGUGGGGGA